rnacentral:rRNA from 1 species
UACGGAGGGUGCGAGCGUUGUCCGGAAUCACUGGGCGUAAAGGGCGCGUAGGCGGCCUGAUAAGUAGGGGGUGAAAUCCUGCGGCUUAACCGCAGGGCUGCCUUCUAAACUGUCAGGCUCGAGCACAGUAGAGGCAGGUGGAAUUCCCGGUGUAGCGGUGGAAUGCGUAGAGAUCCGGAAGAACACCGGUGGCGAAGGCGGCCUGCUGGGCAGUGGCUGACGCUGAGGCGCGACAGCGUGGGGAGCAAACAGG